CAGAACCCACACCUUCUUCCUUAAUCCCUAUUUUCGAAACUAAUGCCCAAGUCCUCGCUGAGCACUACAAGCUAUUAACGUACAACAAUUUUCUUUUGAUCAUCAUUGCUGAUCGGAAGUGCUCGGAGCCGUUGUGCCGUUGGCUCCCGCAUCUUCGUCGCACCUAUUUCCGUCCAGAAGGCUUGUCGUCCUCGCAAUCGAGAUCCUUGACGCGUUGUCAAGCCUACGUCCACAUUCACAGCCUUCCUCUCUCACCAACAAUUCCAAUCCUCCCUAACUACCGGAAUUUAAGAUGCCCAAGAAAGCUCGUUACACGAAAAAGACAAGAUUGGCAACACCAUGUUAGUAGCCUCCAACGGGAGCUUCUGCAUCUUUAUCCUCCGCUAAUGAUGACUGGCUCGUUUCCCCGCCCAGUGAUAGUGGCGUGCUAGUAGUGGCAUCUUUGUGGCCAUUCCGUCCGCCCUGGAGUGAUCCAAGACCUGAGGCAGAGACCUGCGCCAAUGGUGUACAAGCGUUGGAGUCAUGCGAUGAAGACUUGGACCCAGAGGCGAACGAGCCAAUCAGAGAUUGUGCUGGUUUAUUGAGUGGCGUUCUUGGAAUGCUGGGGGCUGAUUACAACAAAUUUUCUAUCUGUGAAAAAAUUUGAAAAAGGGUGACGGACAAAGACAUAGUGUAUAAUGAUUGUAUAAAGGAAAUGUUCCACUCUGAUGAAGAUAUAGGUGGAAGAAUCAAGAAAAUUUUUUUGCAUAGCAUGGGAAAGUCCUGGAAGGAGAUAAGGGGUAGGUUGUAUGACAGUUAUUACAAACCAACAAGGAUGCUUGAGGAAAAUCUUGAAGACUGCCCGGUGGGUAUUGAUACGGAGCAUUGGAGAUAGUUCUUUGAUUAUCGCAAUGACCCUGACAUAAAGGAGAAGUGCAGGGCAAAAUGCUUUGAAUCGAUCGAAGCAACUUUACACCUACACUGACGGUUCUAAAAGUUUGGCUAGGUGAAGGGAAGAAGAAGUAAUUUAGGUUUGAAUGCAUCUUUGAACAGUAUUCUGGAUUGUAUCUUCUUUUAUUGGGUUUAAUACGAUUAUGGUAUAAACUGUAUUAUCACAGUCAGAACUAUAGGAGAGUUGAGUUGGUAGAAGAGAAAUAUGGAUCUUACAGCACAAACAACCUGAUGACACAUAUAUACUUGAAGAAACUCAGAGGAUUGGUGAUAAAAUAUCUGAGGUUGAGCAACGUGAUGAAUCCAUGAGAUUAUUGUCUGAAAAUGAUUUCCUUGCCCAAGCUCCCGAAAAAGAGCACUCGGGUAGAGUGUGUGGCAGAGGUGGCGCCGAGAAAUUGAAAAGGAAGGUAGUGGAGGAUGAAGUAGCAGCUGAGAAAUUGAAAAUGAAGACAGUGGAGGAUGAAAUAGCAGCAUAAAAGUUGAGAAGGAAGGCAGUGAAAGAUGAUGUAGCAACUGAGAAGAUGAAGAGGCAAGCAAUAGAGCGUGUGCUAACUUAUCUGAUUCAAUGGCAAGGUGGGGAAUUGCCACCAGACAUCGCUACACAGAUGAAUUCUUUGGAUGGACACGGAGGAAAAUAGAAAUUAGGAGUCGUGUGAAAUUUUAUUUGGAGUAUAUGUUUAAUUGACUAUGCAACUUUAUUAACUAGUAAAACACU